rnacentral:rRNA from 1 species
UAGGGAAUCUUCGGCAAUGGACGGAAGUCCGACCGAGCAACGCCGCGUGAGUGAAGAAGGUUCUCGGAUCGUAAAGCCCUGUUGUUAGAGAAGAACGUUGGUAGGAGUGGAAAAUCUACCAAGUGACGGUAACUAACCAGAAAGGGACGGCUAACUACGUGCCAGCAGCCGCGGUAAUACGUAGGUCCCGAGCGUUGUCCGGAUUUAUUGGGCGUAAAGCGAGCGCAGGCGGUUCUAUAAGUCUGAAGUUAAAGGCAGUGGCUUAACCAUUGUACGCUUUGGAAACUGGAGGACUUGAGUGCAGAAGGGGAGGGUGGAAUUCCAUGUGUAGCGGUGAAAUGCGUGGAUAUAUGGAGGAACACCGGUGGCGAAAGCGGCUCUCUGGUCUGUAACUGACGCUGAGGCUCGAAAGCGUGGGGAGCAAACAGG